rnacentral:rRNA from 1 species
GACGAACGCUGGCGGCGUGCCUAAUACAUGCAAGUUGAGCGCUGAAGGUUGGUACUUGUACCAACUGGAUGAGCAGCGAACGGGUGAGUAACGCGUGGGGAAUCUGCCUUUGAGCGGGGGACAACAUUUGGAAACGAAUGCUAGUACCGCAUAAAAACUUUAAACACAAGUUUUAAGUUUGAAAGAUGCAAUUGCAUCACUCAAAGAUGAUCCCGCGUUGUAUUAGCUAGUUGGUGAGGUAAAGGCUCACCAAGGCGAUGAUACAUAGCCGACCUGAGAGGGUGAUCGGCCACAUUGGGACUGAGACACGGCCCAAACUCCCACGGGAGGCAGCAGUAGGGAAUCUUCGGCAAUGGACGAAAGUCUGACCGAGCAACGCCGCGUGAGUGAAGAAGGUUUUCGGAUCGUAAAACUCUGUUGGUAGAGAAGAACGUUGGUGAGAGUGGAAAGCUCAUCAAGUGACGGUAACUACCCAGAAAGGGACGGCUAACUACGUG